GGCGAUUUAGCUCAGUUGGUUAGAGCGUGUGCUUAACACUAGGACUGUUCCGCAGUCAGGCGUUGCGCACAAGGUCGGCGGUUCGACCCCGUCAAACGUCA
rnacentral:tRNA from 1 species